UACGUAGGGGGCAAGCGUUGUCCGGAUUUAUUGGGCGUAAAGAGCUCGUAGGCGGCUUGUCGCGUCGACUGUGAAAACCCGCGGCUCAACCGCGGGCCUGCAGCCGAUACGGGCAGGCUAGAGUCCGGAAGAGGAGAAUGGAAUUCCUGGUGUAGCGGUGAAAUGCGCAGAUAUCAGGAAGAACACCUAUGGCGAAGGCAGCUCUCUGGGACGGUACUGACGCUGAGACGCGAAAGCGUGGGGAGCGAACAGG
rnacentral:rRNA from 1 species